rnacentral:rRNA from 1 species
AUUGAACGCUGGCGGCAGGCCUAACACAUGCAAGUCGAACGAGUGGCGGACGGGUGUGUAAUGUCUGGGACCCUGCCUGAUGGAGGGGAAUAACUACUGGAAACGGUAGCUAAUACCGCAUACCAUCGGAUGUGCCCAGAUGGGAUUAGCUAGUAGGUGGGGUAAAGGCUCACCUAGGCGACGAUCCCUAGCUGGUCUGAGAGGAUGACCAGCCACACUGGAAACGAGAGACGGGCCAGACUCCUACGGGCGGAAGCAGUGGGGACGAUUGCACAAUGGGCGCAAGCCGGAGGCAGCCAGGCCGCGUGUAUGAAGAAGGCCGUCGGGUUGUAAAGUACUUUCAGCGGGGAGGCGUUACCCGCAGAAGAAGCACCGGCUAACUCCGUGCCAGCAGCCGCGGUAAUAC